AAGACUCUCGGCAACGGAUAUCUCGGCUCUUGCAUCGAUGAAGAACGUAGCGAAAUGCGAUACUUGUUGUGAAUUGCAGAAUCCCGUGAACCAUCGAGUCUUUGAACGCAAGUUGCGCCCGAAGCCAUUAGGCCGAGGGCACGCCUGCCUGGGUGUUGCACAU
rnacentral:rRNA from 1 species